rnacentral:rRNA from 1 species
GACGAACGCUGGCGGCGUGCUUAACACAUGCAAGUCGAACGGAAAGGCCCUGCUUUUGUGGGGUGCUCGAGUGGCGAACGGGUGAGUAACACGCGAGUAACCUGCCCUUGACUUUGGGAUAACUUCAGGAAACUGGGGCUAAUACCGGAUAGGAGCUCCUGCUGCAUGGUGGGGGUUGGAAAGUUUCGGCGGUUGGGGAUGGACUCGCGGCUUAUCAGCUUGUUGGUGGGGUAGUGGCUUACCAAGGCUUUGACGGGUAGCCGGCCUGAGAGGGUGACCGGCCACAUUGGGACUGAGAUACGGCCCAGACUCCUACGGGAGGCAGCGGUGGGGAAUAUUGCACAAUGGGCGGAAGCCUGAUGCAGCAACGCCGCGUGCGGGAUGACGGCCUUCGGGUUGUAAACCGCUUUCGCCUGUGACGAAGCGUGAGUGACGGUAAUGGGUAAAGAAGCACCGGCUAACUACGUG